AACGAACGCUGGCGGCAUGCCUAACACAUGCAAGUCGAACGAGACCUUCGGGUCUAGUGGCCCACGGGUGCGUAACGCGUGGGAACCUGCCCUUAGGUUCGGACUAACUCCCCGAAAGGGGUACUAAUACCGGAUAAUGGCUUCGGACCAAAGAUUUUUCGCCUUUGGAUGGGCCCGCGUUGGAUUAGCUAGUUGGUAGGGUAAAAGCAUACCAAGGCGACGAUCCAUAGAUGGUCUCAGAGGAUGGUCAGCCACACUGGGACUGAGACACGGCCCAGACUCCUACGGGAGGCAGCAGUGGGGAAUGUUGGACAGUCGGCGGAAGCAUGAACCAGUAAUGCCGGGUGAGUGAUGUAGGCCUUAGGGUUCUAAAGCUCAUUUACCCGGGAUGAUAAUGACAGUACCGGGAGAAUAAGCUCCGGCUAACUCCGUG
rnacentral:rRNA from 1 species